UACGGGGGGGGCAAGCGUUGUUCGGAAUUACUGGGCGUAAAGGGCUCGUAGGCGGCCAACUAAGUCAGACGUGAAAUCCCUCGGCUUAACCGGGGAACUGCGUCUGAUACUGGAUGGCUUGAGUUUGGGAGAGGGAUGCGGAAUUCCAGGUGUAGCGGUGAAAUGCGUAGAUAUCAGGAGGAACACCGGUGGCGAAGGCGGCUAUCUGGACAGAGUCUGACGCUGAGGCGCGAAAGCUAGGGGGAGCAAACAGG
rnacentral:rRNA from 1 species